rnacentral:hammerhead_ribozyme from 1 species
ACUCAUCUGACGAGUCUCAAAUAGGACGAAACGCGCUUUCUGGAU